rnacentral:rRNA from 1 species
AAUAGAUACCCUGGUAGUCCACGCCGUAAACGAUGUCGACUUGGAGGUUGUGCCCUUGAGGCGUGGCUUCCGGAGCUAACGCGUUAAGUCGACCGCCUGGGGAGUACGGCCGCAAGGUUAAAACUCAAAUGAAUUGACGGGGGCCCGCACAAGCGGUGGAGCAUGUGGUUUAAUUCGAUGCAACGCGAAGAACCUUACCUACUCUUGACAUCCACGGAACUUAGCAGAGAUGCUUUGGUGCCUUCGGGAACCGUGAGACAGGUGCUGCAUGGCUGUCGUCAGCUCGUGUUGUGAAAUGUUGGGUUAAGUCCCGCAACGAGCGCAACCCUUAUCCUUUGUUGCCAGCGGUUAGGCCGGGAACUCAAAGGAGACUGCCAGUGAUAAACUGGAGGAAGGUGGGGAUGACGUCAAGUCAUCAUGGCCCUUACGAGUAGGGCUACACACGUGCUACAAUGGCAUAUACAAAGAGAAGCGACCUCGCGAGAGCAAGCGGACCUCAUAAAGUAUGUCGUAGUCCGGAUUGGAGU